UUGACCUCGGAUCAGGUAGGGAUACCCGCUGAACUUAAGCAUAUCAAUAAGCGGAGGAAAAGAAACCAACAGGGAUUGCCYYAGUAACGGCGAGUGAAGCGGCAAAAGCUCAAAUUUGAAACCUGGUACCUCUG
rnacentral:rRNA from 1 species